rnacentral:rRNA from 1 species
AAUAAGUACCCCGCCUGGGGAGUACGACCGCAAGGUUGAAACUCAAAGGAAUUGACGGGGGCCCGCACAAGCGGUGGAGUAUGUGGUUUAAUUCGACGCAACGCGAAGAACCUUACCAGGUCUUGACAUUGAUGGACAGAACUAGAGAUAGUUCCUCUUCUUCGGAAGCCAGAAAACAGGUGGUGCACGGUUGUCGUCAGCUCGUGUCGUGAGAGGUUGGGUUAAGUCCCGCAACGAGCGCAACCCCUAUCUUAUGUUGCCAGCACUUUGGGUGGGAACUCAUGAGAGACUGCCGCAGACAAUGCGGAGGAAGGGGGGGAGGACGUCAAAUCAUCAUGCCCCUUAUGACCUGGGCUACACACGUACUACAAUGGGAGUUAAUAGACGGAAGCAAUACCGCGAGGUGGAGCAAACCCGAGAAACACUCUCUCAGUUCGGAUCGUAGGGUGCAACUUGCCUACGUGAAGUCGGAAUCGCUAGUAAUCGCAGGUCAGCAUAAUGCGGUGAAUACGUUCCCGGGCCUCGCACACACCGCCCGUCACUCACCGCCCGUCUGCACUCACCGCCCG